CGCAUUGACCCAGGACCUUGGACUGAGAAGAUGGGCAGACAUUUAGAAGACUUUCCUCAGCAGACCUCUGGAAACUGUUGUGGCAUCCUCAUGCUAAUGUACGCCCUUUGCCUCUGCACACGUACUAGAUUUACGUUUACUGAGGUAACUUAUUUCUUAUAAAAAAAAGCUCAGGUAUUUGUCCCAUUUGUCUAAUUAUUGCACUAUAUAUUUUCUUUUCCUUUUUCAGAGUGACAUACCGUUGAUCCGCCAUUGGUGGUGCAUCCUACUGAUGGAGAGGUUUCAGAUAGAGGGACAUGGCCAACGGUUUGCUUACUGGAGCGAUGAAGCUGUUGAGUUGUUGCAAGGCACUCUUCAGCCUCUUUU